AUAUUUGGACUCGGAUGGUAUUUGAGGUCAUUCAACACCUCAGAACAGGGCCUUUUGUUAAUACCUUUAAUGAAAGGUUAGGAAUGUUAUUUGACUCAUGUUCACAGAGAGGGAUAAAGGCUGUUGGUAGAAGAGGAAAAAUUGCUGCAUGUCUGAAAAACGUAGGAGAAUAGGCAAUACUGUGGCUGGUUUUAAUCUUCUCUUUUCUUCUUGCUGUUUAAAGAGGAUCUCUUAAUUUAAAACUGCUGUAAGGAUACUUACCAUGCUGGCCAUGUUCAAGGGCUGCAGGACAUGCAUUGCAGAUUCUGAACUCUCUUUCUUCUGCUGGAAAUGCAGACUCACAGUUGCAGUGUAAACAUCUUAGACGAGUUGUAACAGCCAUUAGUCAAUGAGCAGAAGCUUAAUACAUCUUGCUGGAACAAAGCCUGUACAUUUGCUUAUAACAGACCAGGUGAAAAUCGAUGGGCGUGGAAUUUUCUCUGAGCUAUUUGAACCGCGGUCAGCAUGUGCAGCUGGGAGACGAGAUGUGGUUUGACCAUAUGUGAGCCAAAACACGUGGUGACUUUGUUUUUACAGAUGAUGCCAAGUGGAGGUAAACACCUCAGUGCACAGGACGUGAGCAGUGUCUGGGCUUUGCUCCAGCCUGCCGAUACGCAAGCCUGCAGCUGUACGUCACAUUCAGCAGGUUAUUUCCCUCAAAGUAAGGUUAGCGAUGUCCGGCAGAGCUGCUCCGCUUUUGGUGCUGAAGGAGAAUGAUUUGUGAUAGUCUUUCACAGAGAAGUGGAGCAAAAGUUAUGCCUGAUUUCCUCAAGAUGAUGGUGUGACAAGGAAAGUAAUGCUAUGGAUAACGUGAGGCCUUGCAGCACACGCAGGGUGACAGAAACACAAGGGCAGAGCUGCAUAGUCACCUGUGGGACCACGGCCUGCAUUAAGCACUCUACAUCAAGACACAAAGCGAAACAGCUGGCAAGAGGGAGGAAAGCUGUAAUUACAG